rnacentral:tRNA from 1 species
GGGGUUGUGGCUCAGAGGUAGAGCGCUCGCCUCGCAGGCGGGAGGCACUGGGUUCGAUCCUCAGCACCGCCU